CCUACGGGAGGCUGCAGUGGGGAAUAUUGCACAAUGGGGGAAACCCUGAUGCAGCGACGCCGCGUGAGUGAAGAAGUAUUUCGGUAUGUAAAGCUCUAUCAGCAGGGAAGAAGAAAGACGGUACCUGACUAAGAAGCCCCGGCUAACUACGUGCCAGCAGCCGCGGUAAUACGUAGGGGGGAAGCGUUAUCCGGGUUUACUGGGGUUAAAGGGAGCGUAGACGGCUGUUCAAGUCUGAAGUGAAAGCCCAGGGGCCAACCCUGGGCCGGCGUUGGAAACUGUGGAGCUAGAGUGGGGGAGAGGUAAGUGGAAUUCGUAGUGUAGCGGUGAAAUGCGUAGAUAUUAGGAGGAACACCAGUGGCGAAGGCAGCUUACUGGACAGUAACUGACGUUGAGGCUCGAAAGCGUGGGGAGCAAACAGGAUUAGAUACCCCAGUAGUC
rnacentral:rRNA from 1 species